rnacentral:rRNA from 1 species
UGGCGAACGGGUGAGUAACACGUGGGUGAUCUGCCCUGCACUUCGGGAUAAGCCUGGGAAACUGGGUCUAAUACUGGAUAGGACCACAUUUUGGAUGGUGUGGUGGAAAGUUUUUCGGUGUGGGAUGAGCUCGCGGCCUAUCAGCUUGUUGGUGGGGUAAUGGCCUACCAAGGCGUCGACGGGUAGCCGGCCUGAGAGGGUGUACGGCCACAUUGGACUGAGAUACGGCCCAG